GGGUGCUACGGGCGUGGCGGCGCCGUUUCCCGCCACUCCUGGUGCUCAUGCUCGCUGCCGUCGAGCUGCUUACCG
rnacentral:lncRNA from 1 species